AAAAAAAAAAUACAAAAAAAAAACCUAAAACGAGCAUAUUGAGUUCAAGCUCAUGAUUAAGCAAUUAGUCACCCAUGAUAUGGCUUUGCCUUGGAGAAUGAAGGGUGAUUAUCUGUAUACUACUGUGAACUUGUCAAACACACACAAAAUUGUCCUUUUUGUUUUCAUUAUUAUUUGGGUCUUACUUCAAUGGCAUUAAUUACUAGCCCUCCUUUUAGUUGACAUCCUUUCACCUCCAUCAAUGUCAUCUUCACCUCCUCAUCACUGUCACCACUAAAAAAUUCUCCCAAUUCAAUUUCACUCCAUGAAUCUUCUCUUUUUCUUGGCAUUGUAAAAUGCUUAUCUUUCAGCCUUGUUUCCACCAUUUGUGUGUGAUUCGUGUUAUCUAGACACAUUGUUGGUUGUUUCUUGCUAUGCUGGCCAUGUAGAUAAGCUAUGUUGGAUGAUACUUGAUUCCCCACUUCUACUGAUAUUUCUGAGGGUAUUGAAUCUAGCCCAUAGGCACGGUCAGAGAUCUUCAUUACAAGAUAAGCCCCAUAUUUUGUGUUUGGUGAUAGCAUUUGAGUUCUGAUUUUUCCUUGUAUUUCUAGCCACCAGGUUGUUCUGAGUACUGUCACCUCUAAAAAUCUGUUGAAGAUGAACCAUGUGUAUGUUGCUUAUUAUUGUUCAAGUUCAUGGCCAUUUUUAAUGUUAGGAUAGCUAGUUAUCUUGUAUAGUAUUUUAUGACAUUCAAUUGCAAAGAAAUGAAGAGAGAGGGAAAAUCAACCUUGAUUCAAUUGUUGGCAUCCAGCUCCAGUAAGUUGGAACAUCACUCCACAUGAUUGAAAGUUCUCGUGCAGACAAUGUAUAGGAUAUUUUGCCAGACGAUUUCUCUAACUUGAAGCUCUGCAGUAGAGUUUUAGAAUACUUGAAAAAAAUAUAUAUUAAUUGCACAUAUUGUUGUCAAUAUUUUUUGUGGUUUUUUAAGUCCUAUUUGCCUAUCUCAUAUCUCAAUAGUAAUGGAUUAGCAAUUUUAUUUGUGAAUUGCUAUUUAUAGAUGGCUAAAUUGAGAAAUGGAUAUUGAUUUGGUCGCAAGAUCUAUGAACAAGAGAGAUCGCUCUUAGCAGUAUGCGUCCAUUAUGUUUGGGGAUGGAUUCAUGUACAUUGGUUUUAUUAAAAAAAUGUGGUGAAUUAACUCUCUGAUAUCACCAAUUGAACUCACAUAAAAAUAUAAACCAAAUAAAAUGCUUUCUUGUUGACUCAAUGGUUGAAAUUAAUUCUUGCUGGUAUACAUAUCAUUGGACUUUGUGUAGCUUCAUGCAAUAGAAUAUAAGAAUUGUUCUGUAAAAUGUGGUUUUAUACCCCUUUGUUCCCCUUCCCUCCCUUCAGAUUUCUCCUAGUCCAUAAGAAGUAUAUUAUUUUAGCUUAGGCCUCAAAAGCAGAAUUAUAUCACAUACAAGGGAAGUGCAGAGCCUUACCUUUUUCCCAGCAUCCAUGAGAAUUGGGUUGCAUAGAUGAAAAAAAAGCUCUUUCUUUGAAGAGAACGUCAACGGAGUGACAGCUCUUGAGAGAAUGUCACGAUAAUCUGAUGGCAGAAAUCUUUCCCACACAGCAUCAGACUCCAUAGCUGAUUGAAAGGUGGAUGAUACCAGCGAUGAUCUGCAAGCGUCAAGCGGAGAUGUGAAGGAGAGAAUUAGAGAGACACAACCUUCAGGUAACAUGUUGGAGUUGAAACCUUUCUCUUUCUCAUGUGUUGUCUAUUCUGAACAUGGGUUGGGUGUUCCUGAUGGUGUAUUAUAUAUUGAAGAUACAAGCAGGCCUCAACUUUGAAAGUGUCCGAGAUCAAGAUUCAAGCUAUUCUGCUAAUGAACAAAAUAUAUGCUACAUUUUAAUAGAACCACCGCUUGAUAAGAUAUGGUAAAUGUCAUUAUCUUUUCAACGUGAUGUUGUCAUUGAAGAAAAAGAUUUUGACAAAGAAAGCAAUCUUUUUAGCCCUCUUGUCCUGUAGCUUGACCAAAGUUGCAUUAAUUUAGACGUAGACAUGUUCUUAUCGGUCCAUGUGGACCUCCCCUAUUAUUUUCUCUCUCAAUUUUUUUUAUCCAUUUAACAGUAACAUUCAAAAUAUUAAUUUGAUUCUAGAAAAUUUACUAAAUUAAUU
rnacentral:misc_RNA from 1 species